rnacentral:rRNA from 1 species
GACGAACGCUGGCGGCGUGCUUAACACAUGCAAGUCGAACGGAAAGGCCCUGCUUUUGUGGGGUGCUCGGGUGGCGAACGGGUAAGUAACACGUAAGUAACCUGCCCUUGUCUUUGGGAUAACUUCAGGAAAGUAGGGCUAAUACCAGAUAGGAGCUCCUGCUGCAUGGUGGGGGUUGGAAAUUUUCGGCUGUUGGGGAUGGACUCGCGGGUUAUCAGCUUGUUGGUGGGGUAGUGGCUUACCAAGGCUUUGGCGGGUAGCCGGCCGGGGAGGGUGACCGGCCACCAUGGGACUGAGAGACGGACCAGAGGCCUACGGGAGGCAGUAGGGGGGAAUCUUGGCCAAUGGGACGAAGUCUGAUGCAGAAACCCCGGGUGCGGGAAGACCGUCUUUGGGGUGGAAAACGCAUUAGCCUGUGACCCAGCGUGAGUGACGGUAACCGGUAAAGAAGCACCGGCUAACUUCGUG